rnacentral:rRNA from 1 species
GACGAACGCUGGCGGCGUGCUUAACACAUGCAAGUCGAACGAUGAAGCCGGAGCUUGCUCUGGUGAAUUAGUGGCGAACGGGUGAGCAACACGUGAGUAACCUGCCCUUGACUCUGGGAUAACUGCGGGAAACUGUAGCUAAUACCGGAUACGACCCUCGGAGGCAUCUCCUGGGGGUGGAAAGAAUUUCGGUCAAGGAUGGACUCGCGGCCUAUCAGCUAGUUGGUGAGGUAACGGCUCACAAAGGCGACGACGGGUAGCCGGCCUGAGAGGGUGACCGGCCACACUGGGACUGAGACAAGGCCCAGACUCCUACGGGAGGCAGCAGUGGGGAAUAUUGCACAGUGGGCGCAAGCCUGAUGCAGCAACGCCGCGUGAGGGAUGACGGCCUUCGGGUUGUAAACCUCUUUUAGCAGGGAAGAAGCGAAAGUGACGGUACCUGCAGAAAAAGCACCGGCUAACUACGUGCCAGCAGCCGCGGUAA